GCCGCUGUAGCUCAACAGGUAGAGCAACGCACUUGUAAUGCGUAGGUUGCGGGUUCAAGUCCUGCCAGCGGCU
rnacentral:tRNA from 1 species